UGCGUAGGUGGUCGUUUAAGUCCGUUGUGAAAUCCCUGGGCUCAACCUGGGAAUGGCAGUGGAUACUGGACGGCUAGAAUGCGGUAGAGGGUAGUGGAAUUCCCGGUGUAGCAGUGAAAUGCGUAGAGAUCGGGAGGAACACCAGUGGCGAAGGCGGCUACCUGGACCAGCAUUGACACUCAAGCACGAAAGCGUGGGGAGCAAACAGGAUUAGAUACCCUGGUAGUCCACGCCCUAAACGAUGCGAACUGGACGUUGGGAGCAACUUGGCUCUCAGUGUCGAAGCUAACGCGUUAAGUUCGCCGCCUGGGGAGUACGGUCGCAAGACUGAA
rnacentral:rRNA from 1 species